rnacentral:miRNA from 1 species
UUCCUUAAGGCUAACAGCUUGG